GUCCAAUCAAAUGGGUUUUAGAAAAAAUAUUUGUGGGCAAAUAUUUUUUUUCUUCUUUAAAAGUGUGUUUAUAUUGUAACAUACCUUUAAUAAAUUGAGCUUUGCUAUCUUCUAUUAUUUCCCAUUUUUUUGCCAUUUUAGAUCCAGCUGUAUCUGUGAGAGCACUUACAUUUGUUGGUAAUUCUGCUACUAUUUUUGCCACUCACUGUUUAUACAGCAUUCAUAAAGACUGGUCUAUUGUGUCUUACUAUUGUUUUGAUUACAUUUUCUUCCUGCCCCAGUGAAUCACUUCCUUAAGUUUUAAGAAAAUGUUUUG